rnacentral:rRNA from 1 species
CAAUAGCGUAUAUUUAAGUUAUUGCAGUUAAAAAGCUCGUAGUUGGAUUUCGGGUGGGACGCAGCGGUCUCGCAUUGCGUUUGUACUGCUGCAGCCCUCCUUCUUGCCGGGGGCGGCCUCUCGGACUUCACUGUCUGGGGGUCAGAAUCGGCGAUGUUACUUUGAGUAAAUUAGAGUGUUCAAAGCAAGCUUACGCUCUGAAUAUAAUAGCAUGGGAUAACACGACAGGACUCUGGCCUAUCGUGUUGGUCUAUAGGACCAGAGUAAUGAUUAAGAGGGACAGUCGGGGGCAUUCGUAUUCCGUUGUCAGAGGUGAAAUUCUUGGAUUUACGGAAGACGAACAUCUGCGAAAGCAUUUGCCAAGGAUGUUUUCAUUGA